UCUCCGUAGGUGAACCUGCGGAAGGAUCAUUACAGAGUUCAUGCCCGAAAGGGUAGACCUCCCACCCUUGUGUAUUAUUACUUUGUUGCUUUGGCGAGCGCAUGCUCGCCAGAGAAUACCAAAACUCUUUUUAUUAAUGUCGUCUGAGUACUAUAUAAUAGUUAAAACUUUCAACAACGGAUCUCUUGGUUCUG
rnacentral:misc_RNA from 1 species